rnacentral:rRNA from 1 species
CCUACGGGUGGCAGCAGUCGAGAAUCAUUCACAAUGGGGGAAACCCUGAUGGUGCGACGCCGCGUGGGGGAAUGAAGGUCUUCGGAUUGUAAACCCCUGCCAUGUGGGAGCAAAUUAAAAAGAUAGUACCACAAGAGGAAGAGACGGCUAACUCUGUGCCAGCAGCCGCGGUAAUACAGAGGUCUCAAGCGUUGUUCGGAAUCACUGGGCGUAAAGCGUGCGUAGGCUGUUUCGUAAGUCGUGUGUGAAAGGCGCGGGCUCAACCCGCGGACGGCACAUGAUACUGCGAGACUAGAGUAAGGGAGGGGGAACCGGAAUUCUCGGUGUAGCAGUGAAAUGCGUAGAUAUCGAGAGGAACACUCGUGGCGAAGGCGGGUUCCUGGACAUUAACUGACGCUGAGGCACGAAGGCCAGGGGAGCGAAAGGGAUUAGAUACCCCAGUAGUC